UGUGCAGAGGUGCAACAGCAGCUCCAGCUCACAGGAUUCGCGUCCACUGGUCAGGAGCUCAGACCCUUGACCCAGUCUUGCUCUACUGCAGACAGCAAGGCAGAGGAAGGAGGCGAGUUGGAAGGAACUGAAACUCUCCACAAGCAAGCAGCCUGUUCCCAUUCAGAAACUGGGUGUUCUCCUGAAGUACCUUUUGUGUGACCCUGCUUUUCUUUCACUUGUGUUUUAGUGGGGAAAGUGGGAUGUCUGGCAGAUUGGAGUGAGAUUCUGUACCAGACACAGUUCAGACUGCAAUACCAAUGGGGGCGGACAGUGAUUACUUGAUAAAGAUGACUUAAAAAGUAAAUUGUGAAAUUAUAAAAACAAGCUUAUGGCUGACCCAAAGAGAGACAGAUAAAGGGUUAUACGGUAAUGUUAAAGAAGUGUUUCAGUUCAAUCCUCUUAAACUACAGAGAGAUUUGUUUGUCUAAUUGUGGACAAUUUCACAUGAAUGCAAAUUAUGGUAGUAAAGUUCUGCAGUGUUAUAGCUUUAUAGCUGUGUCCUGGGACACUGUACACAUUAUUCAGAUUUUUAGUUUUUUUGUGUGUCUUUAGUGUGACGAGAGCAUCCUUUUUCCUGAAGUAAAAUGCUUGUGACCCAUUUUCUCAGCUGAAUACAGUACAUUACUAAAGGAUCAGGAGUCCCUCUGCAUCUCUCCUCUGUCCUACCUCCACCUGUGCAGUAACUCCCAGCUCCAUCACUCUGUGAGGGAGACUUGACUUCCUUGUCCUACAACCAGGGUGUUGGCCUUCA